CCGAGCUCCGCGCUGCCGCCUUAUCUGCCGUUUGUUUAGCUGGGUUGGGAAGCCGAGCCCCGCCUGCCCGGCCCGCCAGCAACUUCGGGGUUUUUCCACCAGCCCCGCUGGAUUUUACUAGGCUCCUCGUAGCAAAGUGUCCCGAAGCACGGGGUAAUGCCCUGGUUUUAAAAUUGGUGUCCCCCGGGGUGUGUUAAGGGAGCGCGGUGCCGCGAACGCGAUCAGAGCUGCGCCCAGAAUGCCGCAAGUUUGUGUGAAAAUGAAGUAAUCGUAGGUUCAGUAUAAAUUCCUGUGUUAAACCCCCCACUUCAUGCUUUGAUUCUGAGUCACUUCAGCCAGACUACAGCUACCAUUGACAUACAGGCUAUGGAUGUGAUCCAGGAAAACAAGAUAUUUUGGGACCGGUGAAGGGCAUCUCAAGUUUGUAUUGCUUACUGGUAAAAUUAUUCAUUUUUGUUGAAACCUCCAAUUCCUAGCUGAACCAUGCUGUGAUAAAUAAAGAAAAAUAUGAGGUGAAAACUCAAAGUUAUACACACCAUGCAGCAAUUUUAUUGCAAAGAAGUUCUUAGAUGAGCAUCCUGCGGUCUGUAUCUGCCUACAAAGGGAAGGCUGUAUUGGGUUCAUCAUGCAAAGGGAUGGAGGCUGCAACAAAAGGCAGAGAAGCAUCAGUGAAAAUAAAUGGUGGGAAGUAAACUUUCCAGUGUAUUUUGGCCCUGCCCAGUACUUCUGAGAGGAGAGGUCUUCCUCACUUCCAGGCUGGAGUGACUUCCUGUACUUCCUGUGACUUCCAUUGGUGUAAAACGAAUUACUACUGGCUGCUUGUAUCUCUGCAUAGCUGGUGAAAGACAUAUCAGGUUCUGAGUACUUUACAUGUCUGCAGUGAGAGGUCUUCAUUCAUCCAUAUAAUAGCUACAUGCUUUGUCCUUAUAAAGUUUCACCUCAUUAUACCCACUGGAAUAAUGUCACUGGCCUUUGAGCAUUGGAGCUGAUUCAGCCUCUGCCACCCUGCCCUUCCUGCUUGAAGUGAUUCAGAGCCUGGCCUUCACAUGUAGCCUUCACCAAGGAGUUAAUAAAAAAAGGAAGAAAGCCUGCUAUAACACACCAACACACCCUGCUUCUUGUAUGGUCAGUCACUUGGUCUGUGUUGCAGGCAUGCUGUCUGCACUAUCAGUGAAAUGACAAAAACUGUGCCUUCCUGUAUGUUCUUUGCUGGCAAAAAUUUCCAAGAUGAUCUAUACAGUUUGUGAACAGCACCUCUGCCAAAAGAAAGAAAGGCUGAAGCGACUAGAGAACAGUAUGGAGUGGAUUUCAGUGGGCUAGGGAGUGGUGCCAUGUUCCUUGGUAGAAAGAACUGCUGCAGGUUGCCCCUAGAAAGACCGACAUCCCAGAAGACAAGAAUUCUGUGCAUGUAAAUGGAGAAGAGCAGGUUUCCUGUCUUCUUCAGCCAACAGAGAGCAUUCAUGGUAGCUGAACCCCCAAGUCCCUUCAGAGUUUCCCUCAGAAAACACAUCAUAUCUUUGUUUAAUUCUCCAGAUUUUAAUUCCACCCCACCACUUUUUUUUUUCUUUUUUCUUUUUUUUUUUUCCUGAGAUUAGUAUCCACUGGCCUUCUGAAAUAUCUAUACAGUUCUCCUGGGCUACCUUCUGCCUCAGAUACAUUUCUAUAAAGGUGCAGCCUCAGCAUU